rnacentral:rRNA from 1 species
GAUGAACGCUGGCGGCGUGCCUAAUACAUGCAAGUCGAGCGAAUGGAUUAAGAGCUUGCUCUUGUGAAGUUAGCGGCGGACGGGUGAGUAACACGUGGGUAACCUGCCCAUAAGACUGGGAUAACUCCGGGAAACCGGGGCUAAUACCGGAUAACAUUUUGAACCGCAUGGUUCGAAAUUGAAAGGCGGCUUCGGCUGUCACUUAUGGAUGGACCCGCGUCGCAUUAGCUAGUUGGUGAGGUAACGGCUCACCAAGGCAACGAUGCGUAGCCGCACUGAGAGGGGGAUCGGCCACACUGGGACUGAGGCACGGCCCAGACUCCGACGGGAGGCAGCAGUAGGGAAUCUUCCGCAAUGGACGAAAGUCUGACGGAGCAACGCCGCGUGAGUGAUGAAGGCUUUCGGGUCGUAAAACUCUGUUGUUAGGGAAGAACAAGUGCUAGUUGAAUAAGCUGGCACCUUGACGGUACCUAACCAGAAAGCCACGGCUAACUACGUGCCAGCCGCCGCGGUAA